ensembl:snRNA Rnu6-75 RNA, U6 small nuclear 75
GUGCUCUCUUUGGCUGCACAUGCACAAAAAUGAAAUGAUACAGAGAAGAUUAGCAUCGCCCUUGUCAAGGAUGGCACUCAAAUUCACAAAGUGUGAUUAUGAUAU